ACAGGCCAGCAGCACAGAUUGGAUGAGAGU
rnacentral:piRNA from 1 species